GUUAGAUGCGAUGGGGGGACGGAUCGCGGAAGGUUGUCCGGGUGUUGGAAGUCCCGGUCGCUGCAUUGGAGAAGGCGCUUAGGCAAAUCCGGGCGCAGGAUUCAAGGGUGUGGCGCGAGCUCCUUCGGGAGCGAAGCAAUUGGAAGUGGUUCCAAGAAAAGCCUCUAAGCUUCAGUCUAACGAUGACCGUACCGCAAACCGACACAGGUGGGCGAGAUGAGUAUUCUAAGGCGCUUGAGAGAACUCGGGAGAAGGAACUCGGCAAAUUGGUACCGUAACUUCGGGAUAAGGUACGCCCUGGUAGCUUGACUGGCCUGCGCCAGAAGGGUGAAGGGGUUGCAAUAAACUGGUGGCUGCGACUGUUUAAUAAAAACACAGCACUCUGCAAACACGAAAGUGGACGUAUAGGGUGUGACGCCUGCCCGGUGCCGGAAGAUUAAAUGAUGGGGUGCAAGCUCUUGAUUGAAGUCCCGGUAAACGGCGGCCGUAACUAUAACGGUCCUAAGGUAGCGAAAUUCCUUGUCGGGUAAGUUCCGACCUGCACGAAUGGCGUAACGAUGGCCACACUGUCUCCUCCCGAGACUCAGCGAAGUUGAAGUGUUUGUGAUGAUGCAAUCUACCCGCGGCUAGACGGAAAGACCCCAUGAACCUUUACUGUAGCUUUGCAUUGGACUUUGAACCGAUCUGUGUAGGAUAGGUGGGAGGCUAUGAAACCGGAACGCUAGUUUCGGUGGAGCCGUCCUUGAAAUACCACCCUGGUUUGUUUGAGGUUCUAACCUUGGCCCGUGAUCCGGGUCGGGGACAGUGCAUGGUAGGCAGUUUGACUGGGGCGGUCUCCUCCCAAAGCGUAACGGAGGAGUACGAAGGUACGCUAGGUACGGUCGGAAAUCGUGCUGAUAGUGCAAUGGCAUAAGCGUGCUUAACUGCGAGACCGACAAGUCGAGCAGGUGCGAAAGCAGGUCAUAGUGAUCCGGUGGUUCUGUAUGGAAGGGCCAUCGCUCAACGGAUAAAAGGUACUCUGGGGAUAACAGGCUGAUACCGCCCAAGAGUUCAUAUCGACGGCGGUGUUUGGCACCUCGAUGUCGGCUCAUCUCAUCCUGGGGCUGUAGCCGGUCCCAAGGGUAUGGCUGUUCGCCAUUUAAAGAGGUACGUGAGCUGGGUUUAAAACGUCGUGAGACAGUUUGGUCCCUAUCUGCCGUGGGCGUUGGAAGUUUGAAGGGGGCUGCUCCUAGUACGAGAGGACCGGAGUGGACGAACCUCUGGUGUACCGGUUGUGACGCCAGUCGCAUCGCCGGGUAGCUAUGUUCGGAAGAGAUAACCGCUGAAAGCAUCUAAGCGGGAAACUCGCCUUAAGAUGAGACUUCCCCGGGGACUUGAUCCCCUUGAAGGGUCGUUCGAGACCAGGACGUUGAUAGGUCGGGUGUGUAAGCGCAGUAAUGCGUUCAGCUAACCGAUACUAAUUGCCCGUACGGCUUGAUCC
rnacentral:rRNA from 1 species